GACGAACGCUGGCGGCGUGCUUAAUGCAUGCAAGUCGAACGGAAAGGCCCUGCUUUUGUGGGGUGCUCGAGUGGCGAACGGGUGAGUAACACGUGAGUAACCUGCCCUUGACUUUGGGAUAACUUCAGGAAACUGGGGCUAAUACCGGAUAGGAGCUCCUGCUGCAUGGUGGGGGUUGGAAAGUUUCGGCGGUUGGGGAUGGACUCGCGGCUUAUCAGCUUGUUGGUGGGGUAGUGGCUUACCAAGGCUUUGACGGGUAGCCGGCCUGAGAGGGUGACCGGCCACAUUGGGACUGAGAUACGGCCCAGACUCCUACGGGAGGCAGCAGUGGGGAAUAUUGCACAAUGGGCGGAAGCCUGAUGCAGCAACGCCGCGUGCGGGAUGACGGCCUUCGGGUUGUAAACCGCUUUCGCCUGUGACGAAGCGUGAGUGACGGUAAUGGGUAAAGAAGCACCGGCUAACUACGUG
rnacentral:rRNA from 1 species